rnacentral:miRNA from 1 species
AAACGACAAAUCACAAACAACAACAAAGCGUCAAUCAUUGUGUGUGUGUAAAACAAUGACUGAUGUUUUGUUGUUGUUUGUGAUUUGUGGUUUGUG